rnacentral:rRNA from 1 species
GAUGAACGCUAGCGACAGGCCUAACACAUGCAAGUCGAGGGGCAGCGAGGAUGUAGCAAUACAUUUGUCGGCGACCGGCGCACGGGUGAGUAACGCGUAUGCAACCUACCCGACACAGGGGGAUAACCCGGAGAAAUUCGGACUAAUACCGCAUAAAACAGGGGUCCCGCAUGGGAAUAUUUGUUAAAGAAUUAUCGGCGUCGGAUGGGCAUGCGUUCCAUUAGCUAGUUGGUGAGGUAACGGCUCACCAAGGCCACGAUGGAUAGGGGUUCUGAGAGGAAGGUCCCCCACAUUGGUACUGAGACACGGACCAA